CAGCAGCCGCGGGAAAACGAAGGGGGCUAGCGUUGUUCGGAAUUACUGGGCGUAAAGCGCACGUAGGCGGACAUUUAAGUCAGGGGUGAAAUCCCGGGGCUCAACCCCGGAACUGCCUUUGAUACUGGGUGUCUAGAGUAUGGAAGAGGUGAGUGGAAUUCCGAGUGUAGAGGUGAAAUUCGUAGAUAUUCGGAGGAACACCAGUGGCGAAGGCGGCUCACUGGUCCAUUACUGACGCUGAGGUGCGAAAGCGUGGGGAGCAAACAGGAUUAGAUACCCCCGUAGUCCCUGUCUCUUAUAC
rnacentral:rRNA from 1 species